GGAUUGUGGCUCAGUGAUAGAGCACUUGCCUAGCAAGUGUGAGGCACUGGGUUCAAUCCUCAGCACCA
rnacentral:tRNA from 1 species